CCUACGGGAGGCAGCAGUGAGGAAUAUUGGUCAAUGGACGCAAGUCUGAACCAGCCAUGCCGCGUGCAGGAAGACGGCUCUAUGAGUUGUAAACUGCUUUUGUACGAGGGUAAACGCAGAUACGCGUAUCUGUCUGAAAGUAUCGUACGCAUAAGGCUCGGCUAACUCCGUGCCAGCAGCCGCGGUAAUACGGAGGAUUCAAGCGUUCUCCGGAUUUAUUGGGUUUAAAGGGUGCGUAGGCGGUCGGAUAAGUUAGAGGUGAAAUCCCGAGGCUCAACUUCGGAAUUGCCUCUGAUACUGUUCGGCGAGAGAGUAGUUGCGGUAGGCGGAAUGUAUGGUGUAGCGGUGAAAUGCUUAGAGAUCAUACAGAACACCGAUUGCGAAGGCAGCUUACCAAGCUACUUCUGACGUUGAGGCACGAAAGCGUGGGGAGCAAACAGGAUUAGAUACCCGAGUAGUC
rnacentral:rRNA from 1 species